rnacentral:rRNA from 1 species
CACGUAGGCACCAAGCGUUGUCCGGAAUUAUUGGGCGUAAAGAGCUCGUAGGCGGUUUGUCACGUCGGAUGUGAAAACCCGAGGCUUAACCUCGGGCCUGCAUUCGAUACGGGCUGACUAGAGUUCGGUAGGGGAGACGUGGAAUUCCUGGUGUAGCGGUGAAAUGCGCAGAUAUCAGGAGGAACACCGGUGGCGAAGGCGGAUCUCUGGGCCUUACCUGACGCGUCGAGGCGACGAAAGCUAGGGGAGCGAACAGG